ACGCUGGCGGCGUGCCUACACAUGCAAGUCGAGCGAGAAAGUCCCUUCGGGGGCGAGUAGAGCGGCGGACGGGUGAGUAAGACGUGGAUAAUCUCCCCUCGAGCUUGGGAUAACCCCACGAAAGUGGGGCUAAUACCGGAUAAGACCACGUAGCAUAUGCUACGGGGUAAAAGGUGGCUUGUAUUUAUAUGAGCUAUCACUUGAGGAUGAGUCCAUGGCCUAUCAGCUUGUUGGUGAGGUAAGAGCUUACCAAGGCUAUGACGGGUAGCUGGUCUGAGAGGACGACCAGCCACACUGGGACUGAGACACGGCCCAGACUCCUACGGGAGGCAGCAGUGGGGAAUAUUGGGCAAUGGGCGAAAGCCUGACCCAGCGACGCCGCGUGGGUGAUGAAGGCCUUCGGGUUGUAAAGCCCUUUCGUGCGGAAAGAACAGCCCUGAGUUGAAUAUGCUCAGGGUUUGACGGUACCGCAGGAAGAAGCACCGGCUAACUCCGUGCCAGCAGCCGCGGUAAUACGGAGGGUGCAAGCGUUGUUCGGAAUUAUUGGGCGUAAAGGGCGC
rnacentral:rRNA from 1 species